CAAUAAGCGGAGGAAAAGAAACCAACAGGGAUUGCCUCAGUAGCGGCGAGCGAAGCGGCAACAGCUCAAAUUUGAAAUCUGGCUCUCGGGCCCGAGUUGUACUUUGGAGAGGAUGCUUCUGGCGCGGCGCCGUCCGAGUUCCCUGGAACGGGACGCCGGAGAGGGUGAGAGCCCCGUACGGGCGGACGCCAAGCCUCUGCGAAGCUCCUUCGACGAGUCGAGUAGUUUGGGAAUGCUGCUCAAAAUGGGAGGUAAAUUUCUUCUAAAGCUAAAUACCGGCCAGAGACCGAUAGCGCACAAGUAGAGUGAUCGAAAGAUGAAAAGCACUUUGAAAAGAGGGUUAAACAGUACGUGAAAUUGUUGAAAGGGAAGCGCCUGUGGCCAGACUUGCGCCCCGCGGACCACCCGGCGCCUCGGCGCCGGGGCAUGCCAGCGGGGUGCAGGCCAGCAUCGGCUCUCUCGGGGGGACAAAGGCCGCGGGAACGUAGCGCCCUCGUGGCGUGUUAUAGCCCGCGGUGCCAUGCCCCCGGGGGGGCCGAGG
rnacentral:rRNA from 1 species